rnacentral:rRNA from 1 species
UACAGAGGUCCCGAGCGUUGUUCGGAUUCACUGGGCGUAAAGGGUGCGUAGGUGGUUGGGUAAGUCUGAUGUGAAAUCUCCGGGCUCAACCCGGAAAUGGCAUUGGAUACUAUUCGGCUAGAGGUUUGGAGGGGGGACUGGAAUUCUCGGUGUAGCAGUGAAAUGCGUAGAGAUGCGGAGGAACACCGAUGGCGAAGGCAGCCCCCUGGGCUGACACUGACGCUCAGGCACGAAAGCGUGGGGAGCAAACAGG